CACUCUCAGUCUUUCGUUCUCUCUCUCUCUCUCUCUUCCUCCCCCCUCUCUUCAGACGUUGUUGCAAGCAGCGAGCAGAGAGCGAGAGCGAGAGCGGCGAAUGGAAAGACGAUUCAGUGAACAUUUCUGCAUCAUCCCAGAUCCACUUUCUCUGUCUGACAUCACUACCAGACCCUUGAGAUCACAAUAUAACCGACGUGAUGAAAUAAAACCCAACUUUAGACCGACGAGUUCCUCACAAAAGAAUCCUUCAAUGUAAUUUUAUCCAACAAACUAUUAUAACAUUUUUUUUCAA